AUUGAACGCUGGCGGCAUGCCUUACACGUGCAAGUCGAACGGCAGCACGGGUGCUUGCACCUGGUGGCGAGUGGCGAACGGGUGAGUAAUACAUCGGAACGUACCUUAUCGUGGGGGAUAACGCAGCGAAAGUUGCGCUAAUACCGCAUACGCCCUGAGGGGGAAAGCGGGGGACCGUAAGGCCCCGCGCGUUUAGAGCGGCCGAUGUCUGAUUAGCUUGUUGGUGAGGUAAAAGCUCACCAAGGCGAUGAUCAGUAGCUGGUCUGAGAGGACGAUCAGCCACACUGGGACUGAGACACGGCCCAGACUCCUACGGGAGGCAGCAGUGGGGAAUUUUGGACAAUGGGGGCAACCCUGAUCCAGCAAUGCCGCGUGAGUGAAGAAGGCCUUCGGGUUGUAAAGCUCUUUUGUCAGGGAAGAAACAGCAGCUCUAACACAGUCUGCGAAUGACGGUACCUGAAGAAUAAGCACCGGCUAACUACGUGCCAGCCGCCGCCGUAA
rnacentral:rRNA from 1 species